CCUACGGGGGGCAGCAGUAGGGAAUGUUCGUCAAUGGGCGCAAGACUGAACGAGCGAUGCCGCGUGAGUGAAGAAGGCCUUCGGGUCGUAAAGCUCUGUUGCGGGGGAAAAAAGGCAGCAUCAGGAAAUGGGUGCUGACUGAUGGUGCCCCGCCAGAAAGUCACGGCUAACUACGUGCCAGCAGCCGCGGUAAUACGUAGGUGGCGAGCGUUAGCCGGAAUGAUUGGGCGUAAAGGGUGCGCAGGCGGUCCUGCAAGUCUGGAGUGAAACGCAUGAGCUCAACUCAUGCAUGGCUUUGGAAACUGGAGUACUGGAGGGCAGGAGAGGGCGGUGGAACUCGAUGUGUAGCGGUGAAAUGCGUAGAUAUAUGGAAGAACACCAGUGGCGAAGGCGGCCGCCUGGCCUGUUGCUGACGCUGAGGCACGAAAGCGUGGGGAGCAAAUAGGAUUAGAUACCCUUGUAGUC
rnacentral:rRNA from 1 species